rnacentral:rRNA from 1 species
UACGUAGGGUGCAAGCGUUGUCCGGAUUUAUUGGGCGUAAAGAGCUCGUAGGCGGUUUAGCAAGUCGGGUGUGAAAACUUCAGGCUCAACCUGGAGAUGCCACUCGAGACUGCUAUGACUUGAGUCUGGUAGGGGAGCACGGAAUUCCUGGUGUAGCGGUGAAAUGCGCAGAUAUCAGGAGGAACACCGGUGGCGAAGGCGGUGCUCUGGGCCAGUACUGACGCUGAGGAGCGAAAGCGUGGGUAGCAAACAGGAUUAGAAACCCCCGUAGUCC